rnacentral:rRNA from 1 species
UACGUAGGGGGCAAGCGUUGUCCGGAUUUAUUGGGCGUAAAGAGCGUGUAGGCGGCUAGGUAGGUCCGUUGUGAAAACUCGAGGCUCAACCUCCAGACGUCGACGGAAACCGUGUGGCUAGAGUCCGGAAGAGGAGAGUGGAAUUCCUGGUGUAGCGGUGAAAUGCGCAGAUAUCAGGAAGAACACCAAUGGCGAAGGCAGCUCUCUGGGACGGUACUGACGCUGAGACGCGAAAGCGUGGGGAGCGAACAGG